GAGCGGUCGACACCUAUGGGUGUGCGUUUAGUACAUGUUGAAUAUGAAUCAUGACUAGAUUCACACUCAUCGGGGUUGAAUGCGA
rfam:Trichuris suis C410079.1, whole genome shotgun sequence.